rnacentral:rRNA from 1 species
UACGUAGGGGGCAAGCGUUGUCCGGAUUUAUUGGGCGUAAAGAGCGUGUAGGCGGCUUUGCAAGUCCGUUGUGAAAACUCGAGCUCAACCUCGAGACGCCGGUGGAAACUGCAAAGCUAGAGUCCGGAAGAGGAGAAUGGAAUUCCUGGUGUAGCGGUGAAAUGCGCAGAUAUCAGGAAGAACACCCGUGGCGAAGGCGGCUCUCUGGUACGUGACUGACGCUGAGACGCGAAAGCGUGGGGAGCGAACAGG